AAUUCACCAGAGCUAAAAAUCUUAGAGAUUAUCUUGUCCACAGCCAUACGGAACCAACAAAAAAAGCUCAAUCCAUCUGGUUAACACAAACCACCGGCAUUUACCGAUGUGGACAUUGCAAAGUCUGCCAAGAUAUUAGACGCACUUAAAGUGCCAUAUACUCUAAAACAAAAAAAGAAUAUAAGAUCAAGGCGUUUAUUAACUGCAGCUCCACACGGGUGAUAUACCUAAUAAUAUGCAGUUGUGGCAUCCAAUAUGUAGGUAAAAUGUACCAACAAUUGAGGUGCAGAAUCCUUCAACACAUUUGCUCUGUCACAAACCCCAACGUAGCUACUCCAGUCUCCAACCACGUCAGAAACUACCAUCAAGGCGACCCUGCACACCUGACAUUUCAGGCCUUAGAGAAAAUAACCAUGAACACCAGAAAAGGGAAC